AAGGUUUCCGUAGGUGAACCUGCGGAAGGAUCAUUAUUGAACAAACCGGUGUCGGCUGAGCUGGCCUCUUCGGAGGCAUGUGCACGGCCCACCAUUGUUUCAUCCUUCUCUUCCACCUGUGCACUUCUGUGGGUCCACUCCAGCACAUCCGUGUGCUGGAAUCUGGUGCCUACGCUUUACUAUCUACACCAUUGAAUGUUAAGAACGCAUGAAUAGGGCUUCUAGCCCAUAAAACCUUAUACAACUUUCAACAACGGAUCUCUUGGCUCUCGCAUCGAUGAAGAACGCAGCGAAAUGCGAUAAGUAAUGUGAAUUGCAGAAUUCAGUGAAUCAUCGAAUCUUUGAACGCACCUUGCGCUCCUUGGCAUUCCGAGGAGCAUGCCUGUUUGAGUGUCAUUAAAUCAUCAACCACCUCAUCUUUUGAAGAGGGGGUUGGACUUGGAGGUUCUGCUGGCCCCGCUCUCUGCGACCCGGCUCCUCUGAAAUGCAUUAGCAGGGGCUCAUCUUGUGCAAUCUGCAGCCUUGUGUGAUAGUUAUCUACACUCGGCGAGGUCGCAUUCACCCAGCUUCCAGCCGUCCGCUUGCGUGGACAACACUUGACCACUUGACCUCAAAUCAGGUAGGACUACCCGCUGAACUUAAGCAUA
rnacentral:rRNA from 1 species